AUACGUAGGUGGCAAGCGUUGUCCGGAUUUACUGGGUGUAGAGGGCGUGUAGCCGGGAAGGCAAGUCAGAUGUGAAAUCUGGAGGCUCAACCUCCAAACUGCAUUUGAAACUGCUUUUCUUGAGUAUCGGAGAGGUAAUCGGAAUUCCUUGUGUAGCGGUGAAAUGCGUAGAUAUAAGGAAGAACACCAGUGGCGAAGGCGGAUAACUGGACGACAACUGACUGUGAGGCGCGAAAGCGUGGGGAGCAAACAGGAUUAGAUACCCUGGUAGUCCACGCGGUAAACGAUGAUCACUAGGUGUUGGCACGCAUAGCGUGUCGGUGCCGCAGCAAACGCAAUAAGUGAUCCACCUGGGGAGUACGUUCGCAAGAAUGAAACUCAAAGGAAUUGACGGGG
rnacentral:rRNA from 1 species